AUACGGAGGGGGCAAGCGUUGUUCGGAAUUAUUGGGCGUAAAGGGCACGUAGGCGGUCAAGCAAGUUGGUGGUGAAAGCCCUCGGCUCAACCGGGGAAUUGCCCCCAAAACUGCUCGACUUGAGUCGCGGAGAGGGUGGCGGAAUUCCCAGUGUAGCGGUGAAAUGCGUAGAUAUUGGGAGGAACACCAGUGGCGAAGGCGGUCACCUGGACGGGUACUGACGCUGAGGUGCGAAAGCGUGGGGAGCAAACAGGAUUAGAAACCCGGGUAGUCC
rnacentral:rRNA from 1 species